GACCGAAUGGAACCGAAUGCAAUGAAACAAUAACACAAUGCCCUUCAGAGAAGUAUCAGUGUGCUGCAGUAAGAAUCGUGUAUUAUAAAGAGGCGUAUUUAUCACCAAGUGUUGCAGCACCGACCUCUGCAACAGCCAACCUGUCCCAGAGGUCACUCCACCCGUUCAAAAUGGCAGGAAGUGUUUCACCUGUGACGGACAAACAUGCACCAAAACUCUAAACUG